UGCCAAGAAUAAUCAUCUUCAAAACAAACAGCCAUCCACCAAAAAUAAAAAAAGAAUCACCUUCUACUAUUUGACCUGAAAGGAGCACCAAAUGAGAAAAGAAGAGAGAUGAAAAUAUGACAUUUACCAAUGAAAAUGUGUUAACAUCAGGCAGAUUCCUUAGCCUCUUCAGCUGCCUCUUCCUCUCGCAACUUCUUCAAAGAAGGAGGUGGUCUAGGAACAAUGCUUUUCUUCCAUUUCCGAUCAAGCUUCCUGGAUAUCCUUUUGUUAAUUCCUUCUUCCAUCUCACGCUCCCGUUUAACAGUAAGCAUUCGAGCAAUCCUUUUACGCAUCCGAAGAAACUCGCUUGACUUAAACUCAUUACGAGCUGAUCUUUGAAGACGAAGCAUGAAGAGCUCUCCUUUAAGGUCAACAAUCUCUUCCUGAAGCUCCUCAGUAGUUUUGGUUCGAAUUUCCUUCAAUUCGUCAUCUCUCUUCGCCAUAUUCACCACCAUUAAUGAAGAAGAGCGAGUGGUCGCUAUAGAAUGCGCGCUUCGAGCAUGAACCGGACAGACUUGAGCAAUUCGAACGCCAUGGAAGGAGGAUUUAGAGAG
rnacentral:misc_RNA from 1 species